GAAAUAUUUAAUAUAAAGCUUCUAACUUUAUGAAUGAUUUUUAAAAUCUAUAUUUCU
rnacentral:tRNA from 1 species